rnacentral:lncRNA from 1 species
ACAGGUGGUUAUGAGCCACCUAAUAUGAGUGCUGGGAACCAAACACCAGUCCCCUGCAAGAGCAGUGUGUGCAGUAAAUCACUGAGCAAUCUUCCCAGAUUCAUAGUCUUAAAACACUACACUACUUCUGUUUUCCUCUCUCAGCUCACUCCUCUCUAUAGAUGGAUGAUAGAUAGAUAGAUAGAUAGAUAGAUAGAUAGAUAGAUAGAUAGAUAGAUAGAUAGACAGACAGACAGACAGACAGACAGACAGACAGACAGACAGACAUAUAUGGAUAUAUACAUACAUAUAUACAUAUUCAUACAGUGUAGGUACUAUUUUGCACAUGUGGCCCCUAUCUGGGCUUCACAUCUGUAUCUAAGCAGUGCUAGCUUGUGUCUAAAAUGCAUUAUAGGUAUCUGACAAUCAAGAAACUGGCAUUUCUGCUAUAAAAAUUAUGGUUUAUGAAUAUCAUAAUAAAAGAUUUAAUUAUCUGGUUGGUUGGCUGGUUGGUUGGUUGGUUUUGAGAUAGGGUCUCUUUUCGUAGCCCUGGCUGGCCUGGAACUAGCUGUGUAGAGCAGGCUAGCCUCAAACACCAAGAUCCAUGAACUACCACAACUGACUAAACAAUAAUGUAAAACUUAAAACACCUUUUCUUUUACUCAUAAGAGUGCCAAGCAAUUCUGUUAAAUCCGUUUCAUUUAUUUUGUAUUUUGAGGUGGGGUCUCCUGUAGCUGUCUGGCCUUGCAGUCCUGACCCUCCUGGGAUCACAUCCCUGGGACUAAGAUUAUAGACAUGUGCCAUCUCAGGUUGCUUUUUACUUUUUUCAAUAAAUAAAGCUUCAGACCUUUAUUCACCACAGAGAAUCCCACUUGCCUCAUUUUUACGUUAAUAGUGUUCUGUAAGUAUGGUCUGUUUGUUGUUUUAUUUUUUUUUCCCCAAUUGUCCUCAACUUUGCUGGGUUCUUCUCCCUGUUUCCUUUCAUCAAAGGGCAUGAUGGAGGACGCUGAGGUGAAUGCAUCUACCUUCAUUCCCUCCUAUUAUAAACAGAGUCUCUUGGUCUAGAAAUGAACAGGUCCCAGGACAUACAGGGACAUAUCCACUGUCUCUGGGCAGGUUUCUCUUCUCAUGGUUAGCUCCACCUUUUUGGUCCAGGGGGGAAGCUGAGCACCAAAGGACUCUUCUCCUGUUUCUAUCAUAUACUAUGACAGCUUCAAAAGUCUCACUCAAAUACCAACACUCUCGUUCAACUGUCCAUUAGUCUUGACAACCCUACAUUGGCAGACUGUGUUCUAGAUAGCACUGGUGGGGGAGGCAGGUGAAAACAAAACCCAAAAUCUUCCCUGUAACUGGUUUAUGCCAGACAGCAGUGCAAACUUCUCAGAGGAUACAACUCCACAGAGCAAGAAGCUGAGAGUAAGGAAAGAGAAGGCUGCUCUACAGCUCACACAGAUAGAGGAAGGUGGGACCAGAGACAAGCCCUGAGCCCACUGAGAGCCCAAUUUCUGGUUUUGCCACUCUCUAAGUAUCUAUUAUGUGCCAACCAUUUCUUGAUAGUUCCGAAGUGCCUCCCUCUACUAAUUAUUUGGGUUUGGUUUGGUUUGGUUGGUUGGUUGGUUUGGGUUGGGUUUUUUGUUUGUUUGUUUGUUUUUUGUUUUUUGUUUUUUGUUUUUUGGUUUUUGGUUUUUUUUUUGCAGACAGUGUUUCUCUGUAUAGUUCUGGCUGUCCGGAAACUCAUUCAGGCUGCCCCCCAACUCAGAGAUCUGCCUCUCAAGUGCUUUGAUUAAAGGCAUACACCACCACACCCAGCUUCACUUUGUUUUCUAAAAUUUGGCAAUAUCGCUCGUGUUUCUUUAACAUUUAAUUCUCUUUCUUCUCCUUCCAUUCUACCUCAAACCUCCAAACCCCCUCUUAAAGACUGUGGCCUGAAACUCACAAUCAUCCUGCCUCCACUUUUAGCAUCUUCAGAGCACAGGUAUGCACACACCUCUUUUUUUAAUUAUUCACCUUCCUUUCUUUCCUUCUUUCCUUCUUUCCUUCUUUCCUUCUUUCCUUCUUUCCUUCUUUCCUUCUUUCCUUCUUUCCUUCUUUCCUUCUUUCUUCCUUCCUUCCUUCCUUCCUUCCUUCCUUUCUUUCUUUCUUUCUUUCUUUCUUUCUCUUUUGUCCCUUUUUUUCUUGAUGAAACAAUAAUUUUCUCCAGUAAGAGCUACAAGCACAGGAUUGGUGGUACACACCUGUAAUCUCAGAAUUCACCUGGGCUAUAUAGUGAGUUCAAGGAUACCCGGGCUACAUGCACCCUCUCUCAAACAAGUCCAUACAUGGUAUGAAUAUCAUGGAAAGAGAUAAAAUUUCUUCCCACAGCUACUUAACUGAAGAUGAAUGUAAGCCUUUAUAUUUUGGAAAAUGAACAUGCAGAAUUGUUUUCUAAUUUAUCCUUCAUGUCAAUAUACUAUAUGAUAUUGUAAUCAUUAAAAUUAAAACCAAAAAGUUAAAUGAAAAAAUAUAAGCCAUGUUCUAACAUUUUUUUCUUUGUGACAGUGUCUUAUUAUAUAGCAUUGGUUGAGCAUAUAAUAUGGAACUCACUAAAGUAGACUAAGCUGGUCUUUUCAGAGAUCUGCUUGCUUCUGCCUCUCAAAUGUUGGAUUUAAAGGCAUGUGUCUUGGCUCCUGUAGAUGUUGUAAAUCACAUAGUAGCCACAUUGAAGAAAUAAAAACUAGAAGUUAAAUUAACCCUAUUUAAUUUAAUUUAUCUAAAAUAUCAUCAGGGCUAGUAAGAUGGCUCAGUGGAUAAUGGUUCUUGCCACCAAACCUGAGGACUGGGUAACAUUUCUCUGUAUCACAUGGUAGAGAGAGCCGAUCCCUACAAGCCUGUUUCUACAACCCCCACAUACAUGGCAGGGCAGAGAGACAAAUAAAUAUAAAUACAUUAUUAAUUAAUUAAUUAAUUAAUUAAAACUAGAACUUGAAACUAAACUGCAUAGGCAUGCUGUCUGAGUGAAUGGAGUCACUGAGCAGAGCAGAAGUGAAUAGUAAUUUCAUGCCUUGAAAGGUUCUCUUUGGAGCCAGGCUGCAGGAUUCGAACUCAGUUACCUUGUGUAGUUUUCCUUGUAUCCAGAGAUGUCAUCAUUGGGAGACCGUAGUCUCCGCUGAGAUGGAGCCUCCAGAUGCCAGUAGUUGAUGCGGUUCAGAAACAUCUUGGCCAGCUCGAUCGUUGUCUGCCUCUCUUUCGAUGGCAAGUGACUAAACUUGUACUGCACGAAGUUGUUCACACCCUGAAAAGAUGGAAAUGCAGCAUGUUAAUGAAGCUAGAUAACCAUAUUAACUCAGAAUACAGCCAGUUACCUCAGUGGUUAUUAGAAAAAAAAAAAAAGAUAAUUUCUCAAUAGAGAAAAAAAAGUUUUCCCUUUGCUUAAAAAGAACCACUACUACCAUGGGAAAUCUCCCUUCUGGUCACAGUGGAAGAAGUU